AUUCAGCAGUGACAACUCUGAAUUUUCAUUAUAUUCCUGUUCUAGGAUUACAGAUUGAUUUAGUAAACAGACAGAGAAAUAAUGUGGAAUUCUUGCCUGGUUCCAAUUUAUUGCACCGCUGUGAAUAACGAGGAGGAACUCAUUACAUCACUAUGCAGAAAAGAGAUUCACAUAGAUCAUUUAUACCUGCAGCACUGGGCCAAGGCAGAAAAGGCCAUCCGAAGUAGACCACACGGAAUUAAAUACCAAGAUCUUUAAAGCUACUCUAGUGUUGCACAGAGGCUCCAAUGAAAAGCGAUCAAAGGCAUAUGCCACAUCUAGAGUGCCACGCAUCGGCCCCAUGGUGGAUUUCAGAAAAGGAACUGUCUGCCCUUGUCAUCUGUACAGUAGUCCUUAAUACAUUUCAAAACAAUUUCAUGAGAAUCAGGAGAUGUGGA
rnacentral:lncRNA from 1 species